UACGAAGGGGGCAAGCGUUGUUCGGAAUUACUGGGCGUAAAGGGCGCGUAGGCGGUGCGCUAAGUCAGAUGUGAAAGCCCUGGGCUCAACCCGGGAAUUGCAUUUGAUACUGGCGUGCUCGAAUCCGGGAGAGGUUGGUGGAAUUCCCAGUGUAGAGGUGAAAUUCGUAGAGAUUGGGAAGAACACCGGUGGCGAAGGCGGCCAACUGGACCGGUAUUGACGCUGAGGCGCGAAAGCGUGGGGAGCAAACAGG
rnacentral:rRNA from 1 species